rnacentral:rRNA from 1 species
UACGUAGGUGGCGAGCGUUGUCCGGAAUUACUGGGUGUAAAGGGCGUGUAGGCGGGACUGUAAGUCAGAUGUGAAAUUCCAAGGCUUAACCUUGGCGCUGCAUCUGAAACUAUGGUUCUUGAGUGCUGGAGAGGAAAGCGGAAUUCCUAGUGUAGCGGUGAAAUGCGUAGAUAUUAGGAGGAACACCAGUGGCGAAGGCGGCUUUCAGGACAGUAACUGACGCUGAGGCGCGAAAGCGUGGGGAGCAAACAGG